UGCAAGCGGUCGCGGAGUCCCAGGGUGCUAAAUCUGCUGUGAGGUCCGGACUACGAGGGCCAGCCUAAGGCUCUCUCGCUCCAUACUCCCAUCCCCACGAAGGCUCGAAUCGCCGGAACAGAGGCAUAGUCUCUUUUGGGGAUAGUGAGACAUCUAGAACUAACUGGAUUGUCCACUGCAAAAGAUUUAAAUGGUCCUUUCUUAUGUUGUGUGCAAUUUACCACCAAAGAAAAGCGUCUCCUCUGCCUUUUUGACACAUGGAAAUGUGGAACAAGCAAAUAGGAACAUCUAGAAGGAGGCAUCGCUGGGAGGGCUGACUCCGUCAUCUCCGUAAGGGGUCAGCCAGCAUUGGACAGGAUAGCGCGUGGGCUUUGCCAAAAAAUGAGCAGACACUCUCGUGUUCCGUGAGUUUCCGCGGCUCUCUCCCUGGGCUGGAAAGGAAGAAGGUUCAGAGGCCUGUGUACAGAGUUGAGACUUACAAGACUCAAGAGGUGCUCUGAUGGGAAGUGGCCACUGGCUCAGCUCAGAAAAAGAAUGUUUCUGGUCAGGCACAGUAGUCACACCUAUGAUCCAGGGACUCCAGAGGCUCAAAAUUCCAGCCAAGCUCAGCAAGACUGUCUCAAAAUAAAGAGGACUUGGGGUGCAGUGUGGUGGAAAGGCUCCCUGGGUUCACUCCUCAGUGGCCCCAAAGUUUCUGCUUUAAGCAACACAGGUCACUUGGGGAUGUCUGGAAACUACAGAAAGGACCAAGAAGAAAGUAAAGAAGACUCCCCAGUUCCCUUAUCCACGACGACGCCUGAGGUGCAGACCUGCUUCAGUGUGACCCUCAGCCAGCCUCAGAGCCACCUCACACCAGAGCCAAAGGCCCAGCCUGGCCAGGCCUCUACAGCAGCAGCCCCUCACCUGGCACCCCUCCUUCCCUGCUUGGCAUAUCCUGGGCCUUUUUUGGAUUUUUUUGUUGUUGUUUUAUUGAUUUUAUUUUUUUAAAUACACAACAGCAGAAUGCAUUACA